UGAUUUAGCCCUGCUAGUCGCACGAGUUUAGACCCGUGGCAUAUAGCUCAGUAACACGUGGCCAUACUACCCUACAGACCGCGAUAACCUCGGGAAACUGAGGCCAAUAGCGGAUAUCACUCUCAUGCUGGAGUGCCGAGAGUGAGAAACGUUCCGGCGCUGUAGGAUGUGGCUGCGGCCGAUUAGGUAGAUGGUGGGGUAACGGCCCACCAUGCCGAUAAUCGGUACGGGUUGUGAGAGCAAGAACCCGGAGACGGUAUCUGAGACAAGAUACCGGGCCCUACGGGGCGCAGCAGGCGCGAAACCUUUACACUGCACGACAGUGCGAUAGGGGGACUCCGAGUGCGAGGGCAUAUAGCCCUCGCUUUUCUGUACCGUAAGGUGGUACAGGAACAAGGACUGGGCAAGACCGGUGCCAGCCGCCGCGGUAAUACCGGCAGUCCAAGUGAUGGCCGAUAUUAUUGGGCCUAAAGCGUCCGUAGCCGGCCGGACAAGUCCGUUGGGAAAUCGACGCGCUCAACUGGUCGGCGUCCAGCGGAAACUGCCCGGCUUGGGGCCGAAAGACCUGAGGGGUACGUCCGGGGUAGGAGUGAAAUCCUGUAAUCCUGGACGGACCACCAAUGGGGAAACCACCUCAGGAAGACGGACCCGACGGUGAGGGACGAAAGCUAGGGUCUCGAACCGGAUUAGAUACCCGGGUAGUCCUAGCUGUAAACGAUGCUCGCUAGGUGUGCGUAGCUAUGAGCCUGUGCUGCGCCCUAGGGAAGACGAUAAGCGAGCCCGCCUGGGAAGUACGUCCGCAAGGAUGAAACUUAAAAGGAUUUGGCGGGGAGCACCACAACGGAGGAGCCUGCGUUUAAUUGGACUCACGCCGGACAUCUCCCCGGCCCGACAGUAGUAUGACGGUCAGUUGACGACUUUACCCGAC
rnacentral:rRNA from 1 species